rfam:Peptoniphilus lacrimalis DNF00528 contig091, whole genome shotgun sequence.
CUCACUAAAAAUAUGAUUACUUAUUUAUGUCGCGAAUUGGCGUGGCGUUUCUACAAGGUACCGUAAAUACCUAACAAUAAGUAAGUCACAAAAGAGA